rnacentral:rRNA from 1 species
GGACUACCGGGGUUUCUAAUCCCGUUCGCUCCCCAUGCUGUCGUGUCUGAGCGUCAAGGGCGAGCCAGGAGACCGCCUUCGCCUCUGGGGUUCCUCCGGAUCUCUACGCAUUUCACCACUACACCCGGAAUUCCAUCUCCCUCUCUCGCCUUCAAGACUUCCAGUCUGGCAUAACCUAUCCCGGUUGAGCCGGGAGAUUUCAUACACCACUUGAAAGUCCGCCUGCACACGCUUUACGCCCAGUAAAUCCGGAUAACGCUUGCCACCUACGUUUUACCGCGGCGGCUGGCAC